rnacentral:SRP_RNA from 1 species
GCCAGGCACAGUGGAUCAUGCCUGUAAUCCCAGCACUUUGGGAGGCUGAGGUGGGCAGAUCAGGAGGUCAGAAGAUCGAGACCAUCCUGGCUAACACAGUGACACCCCAUCUCUACUAAAAAUACAAAAAAUUAGCUGGGUGUGGUGGCGGGCGCUUGUCGUCCCAGCUAUUCAGGGGCCUGAGGCAAGAGAAUGGUGUGNNNNNNNNNNCACACCAUUCUCUUGCCUCAGGCCCCUGAAUAGCUGGGACGACAAGCGCCCGCCACCACACCCCGCUAAUUUUUUGUAUUUUUAGUAGAGAUGGGGUGUCACUGUGUUAGCCAGGAUGGUCUCGAUCUUCUGACCUCCUGAUCUGCCCCCCUCAG